rnacentral:rRNA from 1 species
AGCAGCCGCGGUAAUUCCAGCUCCAAUAGCGUAUAUUAAAGUUGUUGCAGUUAAAAAGCUCGUAGUUGAAUUUCGGGAUCAAUAUGUCGGUCGUGCCAUCGGUACGUACUGGUAUCAUUGGUUUCUCCUUUCUGACGAACCAUGAUGUCAUUAAUUUGGUGUUAUGGGGAGUUAGGACUGUUACUUUGAAAAAUUAGAGUGUUUAAAGCAGGCUUUAGCUUGAAUACAUUAGCAUGGAAUAAUGAAAUAGGACGUUCGAACCUAUUUUGUUGGUUUCUAGGAUCAACGUAAUGAUUAAUAGGGAUAGUUGGGGGCAUUAGUAUUCAAUUGUCAGAGGUGAAAUUCUCGGAUUUAUUGAAGACUAACUACUGCGAAAGCAUUUGCCAAGGAUGUUUUCAUUAAUCAAGAACGAAAGUUAGGGGAUCGAAGACGAUCAGAUACCGUCGUAGU